rnacentral:rRNA from 1 species
UACGUAGGGUGCAAGCGUUGUCCGGAAUUAUUGGGCGUAAAGAGCUCGUAGGCGGUUUGUCGCGUCGGGAGUGAAAACGCCGGGCUUAACUCGGUGCUUGCUUUCGAUACGGGCAGACUAGAGGCAUGCAGGGGAGAACGGAAUUCCUGGUGUAGCGGUGAAAUGCGCAGAUAUCAGGAGGAACACCGGUGGCGAAGGCGGUUCUCUGGGCAUGUCCUGACGCUGAGGAGCGAAAGUGUGGGGAGCGAACAGG